AGUAAUGUCUGGGAAACUGCCUGAUGGAGGGGGAUAACUACUGGAAACGGUAGCUAAUACCGCAUAACGUCGCAAGACCAAAGAGGGGGACCUUAGGGCCUCUUGCCAUCGGAUGUGCCCAGAUGGGAUUAGCUAGUAGGUGGGGUAAUGGCUCACCUAGGCGACGAUCCCUAGCUGGUCUGAGAGGAUGAUCAGCCACACUGGGACUGAGACACGGCCCAG
rnacentral:rRNA from 1 species